GGGGGUAUAGCUCAGCUGGGAGAGCGCUUGCAUGGCAUGCAAGAGGUCAGCGGUUCCGAUCCCGCUUACCUCCACCA
rnacentral:tRNA from 1 species